GUGAACGCUGGCGGUAGGCCUAACACCUGCCAGUCGCACGGCAGCACAGUAAGAGCUUGCUCUUACGGGUGGCGAGUGGCGGACGGGUGAGGAAUACAUCGGAAUCUACUUUUUCGUGGGGGAUAACGUAGGGAAACUUACGCUAAUACCUCAUACGACCUACGGGUGAAAGCAGGGGAUCUUCGGACCUUGCGCGAUUGCAUGAGCCGAUGUCGGAUUAGCUAGUUGGCGGGGUAAAGGCCCACCAAGGCGACGAUCCGUAGCUGGUCUGAGAGGAUGAUCAGCCACACUGGAACUGAGACACGGUCCAGACUCCUACGGGAGGCAGCAGUGGGGAAUAUUGGACAAAGGGCGCAAGCCUGAUCCAGCCAUACCGCGUGGGUGAAGAAGGCCUUCGGGUUGUAAAGCCCUUUUGUUGGGAAAGAAAAGCAGCAGGUUAAUACCCCGCUGUUCUGACGGUACCCAAAGAAUAAGCACCGGCUAACUUCGUG
rnacentral:rRNA from 1 species